CUGCGUCAGCGGUUUGUGAUCAAAUGUAUAACCAUUUUUUUGUUCAGGGAUCUGGAGAGCAACACCACCGCCGGUGCUCUUGUCUAUCAAAGAUAAUCGCAGCGACUAUCUAACUGUCGCUACUUUUAACAACGUCACAAACGACACUGGAAAUCUUCGCGAAAAUAAUCGCAGCGUCAGCUUAAUUAAUUUUCCACCAUUUUUUAUUUAUUUUUAUGUUCAGUUUUUGGCCGCAAGCCGCUGCGUCCGCGUCUUGUAAAAAAACAUAGCAAAUGAAGGAUAAAAUGGUAAAUUACCGAGUCAUCUCUUUUCCUUUCUCUGUGAUUUUUGUCUGCAAAAAUAUGCUUCGCUCCACUUUUGUCCUCUCUUUUUUUCCCAUUAUUUUGGGUUGCCUGCCUAUUCCCCCCACAUACACACAAACCCUACUUAUUUCCCCCCAAAGUAUUUACUUCUUCAUAAUCCCACCCAAACUUAUAGAUUCUCUUCAUAUUUCCCCCUAAUCUUUUUUAAUCCCCCUCUCUAAUUAAAUUCCCAAGUCGUGAUUAAAGGAACCAAAAUCACGUUUUGUAAACAGCGAUUACCCAAUUAAAAAAACCAGACCCGACAUAAACACAGAUUCGACCCGACCCGAAAUUAAAAAAAAAAAAUUGGGGACAGAAUUAAAGUUAGUGUUUUCUUCUAUCUCCUUCACGUAAAGAAAAACGACGAGGAUGACAGAGAAAGGGAGAGAGAGAGAAAGGAUAGAAGAGAGUGCAGAGGAGAGAGAAACAGUGAGGGAUGGUACCUCAGACGAAACUGAGACGCGAAGAGAUGAUCUGAGGGAAAUUCUUCUCAUGGGAAGCAGGAUGAAGUGAGACUUACUCAGCCUACACAAAGUCAAAGCUAGCCUUUCCAUGGAGUUUUCUGUUUCAAUCGAGUCUUGUGUUUCAAUUGAGUCUGCAUUUUCUGUUCUGUUUAUGUAAGACUUGUUUCUUGUUUCUGUUUCGGUCAUGAGCAGCGGGGUGAUUAUAUAUACUGUUUCGGUUUUCAGAUCAUAUAAGCAAGUCUUAAUGGUUAUGACUUGUUUUGUUUCA